rnacentral:rRNA from 1 species
GAAUGCUGACAUAAGUAACGAUAAAGCGGGUGAAAAGCCCGCUCGCCGGAAGACCAAGGGUUCCUGUCCAACGUUAAUCGGGGCAGGGUGAGUCGACCCCUAAGGCGAGGCCGAAAGGCGUAGUCGAUGGGAAACGGGUUAAUAUUCCCGUACUUGGUGUUACUGCGAAGGGGGGACGGAGAAGGCUAUGUUGGCCGGGCGACGGUUGUCCCGGUUUAAGCGUGUAGGUGUGUGUUCCAGGUAAAUCCGGUUCACUUUAACACUGAGGCGUGACGACGAGGCACUACGGUGCUGAAGCAACAAAUGCCCUGCUUCCAGGAAAAGCCUCUAAGCAUCAGGUAACAUCAAAUCGUACCCCAAACCGACACAGGUGGUCAGGUAGAGAAUACCAAGGCGCUUGAGAGAACUCGGGUGAAGGAACUAGGCAAAAUGGUGCCGUAACUUCGGGAGAAGGCACGCUGACACGUAGGUGAAGUGAUUUACUCAUGGAGCUGAAGUCAGUCGAAGAUACCAGCUGGCUGCAACUGUUUAUUAAAAACACAGCACUGUGCAAACACGAAAGUGGACGUAUACGGUGUGACGCCUGCCCGGUGCCGGAAGGUUAAUUGAUGGGGUCAGCGCAAGCGAAGCUCCUGAUCGAAGCCCCGGUAAACGGCGGCCGUAACUAUAACGGUCCUAAGGUAGCGAAAUUCCUUGUCGGGUAAGUUCCGACCUGCACGAAUGGCGUAAUGAUGGCCAGGCUGUCUCCACCCGAGACUCAGUGAAAUUGAACUCGCUGUGAAGAUGCAGUGUACCCGCGGCAAGACGGAAAGACCCCGUGAACCUUUACUAUAGCUUGACACUGAACAUUGAGCCUUGAUGUGUAGGAUAGGUGGGAGGCUUUGAAGUGUGGACGCCAGUCUGCAUGGAGCCGACCUUGAAAUACCACCCUUUAAUGUUUGAUGUUCUAACGUGGACCCGUUACCCGGGUUGCGGACAGUGUCUGGUGGGUAGUUUGACUGGGGCGGUCUCCUCCUAAAGAGUAACGGAGGAGCACGAAGGUUGGCUAAUCCUGGUCGGACA